GGGAACUCACUGGCUUCGGGUUCCAUCAGAACUCUAAAUUUAAGCGAGUUCGGGUGAGAGCAUUCCUAGGAUGGGUGACCCACUAGGAAGUUCUCGUGUGAGUUCUCAGAAACAAAACCGUCAGGGCGUGGCUGGGGCCCAAAGCAGACAAUAUCGUUUGGGAACUCACUGGCUUCGAGUUCCAUCGAAACUCCGAAGCUAAGCGAGUUUGGGCAAGAGCAUUCCUAGGAUGGGUGACCCACUGGGAAGUUCUCGUGUGAAUUC
rnacentral:sRNA from 1 species